GAGAGAGCCCCAACCCCUGGAAAGUGUCCUCGUGAAAGGAGUGUGUAAGCUCAGGAUGCCUCCGGAGGAGGGGUUCCCUGCUCGGGUCCAGGGGCCCAAGCUGCGUACCUAGCUGGCAGCAGAACCUGACAGCAUUGUCCACACCAAGGCCAGGCAGUCUGUGGCAGUCAAUGGCCCUGAAAGGCUACUACGUGAAGCUGUGAAGAUGAAACCCAAUUUGCAGUGAGACCCAAGGAUGUUAGUUCAGAAGCACAAGACUGCUGCUGAGGAAAAGUGGAGGAAUGAGAUGGAGCCUGAGAGAGGCUGUCUGUGCAGCAGGGGCAGAGCAGGAGGCCCUGUGGAGCCCAGAGAUUCCAUCACAAGCCCCACUGCCAGGCAUGGAGCUGGAGGGCCCACGACCAGUCCCCGGGCUUCUCUUCAGGUAUGGGGACGUUCACUGGGAACCACUGUAUGUCGGAAACACGUAGCUGGUUUAUAGGCACUCACAGCUAAGAUACUUUGAGCCUCAGAUAAGACAGCUCUGGACUUUUGAAUAAUGUUGGAACUGUUAAAGACUAGGGGACUCCUGAAGUUGGACUAAUUAUUCUGCAUUGAGAUAACCAUGCACCUAUGGAAAGGGCUAAGAGGCUAUAGCUUCAAAUUGCUGUUUGGAGAUCAAACUGGCAGGGGGUAGACCUGUCAUGUCAGAGUGACAGCAUCCAGAGUCACCUAGGAGACAGUCCUGUCCAUACCUGAGAGGACUGUCUAUACUUAGCCUUUGGGGAGGUGUGUGAAGAAUUAUGGGCUUGCUGAGGCAACCCCAUCUCCCCAACUGUGGACAAAUAAAAGGGGAGCUGAGCACAGCAUUCAACUCUGCUCCCUGGUUGUGGACGUGCAUGACCAGUUAGUCACCUCGAGCUCCUGCCUCCAUGCCUUUCCUGCCAUGGUGGACUUUAGCCCUGAACCAAAAUAAAGCCUGCCUUCCUCAGGCUGCCAGCCAGGUAUUUUGUUACUGGGUGAGACAGGUCACUGAUUCAGGCUGCUAUCAAGAAUCCUGGUUCACAGAACUUCUGCGACUGCCAUCUGAUGGGCAGGAGACAUUUCAAGGGCAAGUCUGGGGCUUGGAGACUGUGAUUCUCUCUGGAUGUAUCUAUGUGUUCAGUCAAAGAGGAGACUAAAAUAUGUCCCUGGCAAAGAAGUGGGUGUGUCUGGAAGACUGGGUGCGUGUGGUCUGGAGCCCGCAUGAGUUGGUAAAGGUGAAUGUUGAGGCAGGGAGGAGCAAAGGUCUAGCUAGAAAAUGGGGCUUUUCCAGCUUGAAGAGCCCAGCCACCAUUCUCACAGGGAUGAAGCUGGACCCUGGGCAGUGACAGCCUAGGCCAGCGGGAAGGCUAAGGAAAAAGAUACUGACAAAAGACCUUUUUGGAUGUGUAAGAAUGGAUUAUAGAAAUGACACAAACCACCGAAUGUGCGAAGACCCACUGAACUGAGAGUCAAACAGGGCACCAUGACAGGAGUCCCUUAAGCCACUAGAUCUGUCCCCUGGGUUCUGCAAGUGGAGGUGACAGUGACCCAACAAAGUCACCAGUGAGAGAGGAGGGCUGCAGAACACAAAGGCUGACUGACUGAGGCAAAGGCUCUAUGGCUCCGGGGAAAGGGCAGACCUGGAACCACGAAGACUGCAGGGUCUUGUGGUUUGCGAAGCUAGGGACGAGCCAGGUGAGGGAAAGCAGGUGAAGUAGUCACAGCUCUGUUCUUCCUUCUGUCCAGGCAGUGUUAAAGGAAAGGCUGCCGUCAGGACCGUGGUUUCUGCACACCUCUCCGCCCCCCCCCCAGCGAUGGGAAGCAAACUCCGCCUCCUUGUGCUGGACUGGCACGGACAGAGCGACACUCAUGAGAAAACCACAGACUCGGCGUCUACUGCUGAACACCGGCACAGUGUAAAAAACAAAACCAAACCAGCAUCUGGGCUUCCCAGGAUUAGGGAAGAUGUGCCUCAGAGAAGAUGCCUGGGGAGCUGAUUAUCAGUCGGGACCAGAACUCUGGUCAGUGUGGCAGGAAGGCAGCUUGGAGCACUACCCUUUCCUGAGGAGUUCUCAUCAGCUGCUCUUUGCAGCUGAGCCAGAUGCUGCCAUGGAUUGGAGAAACCAGAGGCCACCUAACCACCAAGCUCCUGAAAAACCAAUCCCAGGAAGCUGUUUUACUGUCGGUGUUGACUCUGCUGCCAUCUGUGUGUGCUGUGACCACUGCAGUGGGAACUCCAGCAUCUCCUCUCCACACAGGGGAAGCUGCCUCACAAAGCUAAGUAGCUGAUCUCACCUACUACAAACAAGAACAUCUUUGUCAAUGAAAACGUAAGAGCCCCAACUGUUUUCACACUAUCGCUUAAGACAAACAGGUGUGGGCGCUCAAACCGUGGCUCGGUUCUUGGUGCACAGGCCCUGGGGGGCUGGCAGCGGCUGUUGCUCCGCCCAGGCCCGUGGGCAUCACCACGUUAUUGCUUUGGUUCUGUCUCAGGCACCAGGGUGCCUCAGAGCAUGGAGUUUCCCUAUCACCGGAGGUCAGGACAGGAAUUUGGGCUUUUCACAAGGAAACGAAAGCAUUUUCCCUCCAGGUUAAGUGCAGAACAUGAAUUUCUAAGCGCUCCAUUUACGUUGGGUUCCAGAUAGACAAUUUCAUCCUGGUCAUCCACACUGAAAUCAUGAAUGUAAAAUCACACAGUAGACUUUUCGGCUGGAAAAGAAAAGUAGCGUGUAGCAGCAUGCACAAGGACCAUGCAUUGUCACGUCAGAACAAAUGAAGUGAGCGGAGCGCGCUUUACAGGUCAGAUGACGUGGCAGCAACUGGCGGGGCUGGAGGCGCAGAGCAGCCCCUCCUUGCGGCUGCGCUGGAUGUUCACGGAGAUAGUCUUUUCGCACAGAGGUAGCUGGAGCACGUUGUUCCGCAGCUUCUUGGUCCUCAUGGGGUCCAGGUCAGCAGCGGGGCCAGGGCCUGGGGUGCUGAUGCACAUCUUCCACGUGGACUUCUCCUGCACCUUCACGCUGGAAAACAAGGCCUUCUGCGGGUCCAGAAUGUACUUGGCGCUGUGCAGCUGGGAGCCUAGGCACAGACUAACAAGUUUGAGGCUCUGCACAAGCUCCGCACCGCGUGGAGCAGCGGAGGCCGAGGCUGGGGAGGAUGAGGAGGAGUCGGGGCCUGCACAGCGUUGCGAGGAGCCUGCUGCACCUGAUGGAGUCCCGCCUGAGCCACCCUGGCCGCCACUGCCCGUGCCCUGAUCUCCCGGGCUGGUCUUGUCCACCCCGCCACCACUGCUAGGCUUGCUCUGGCCGCUCCCAUCACCCUCACUGCCCGGCGGCCCCUCGCUGCUGUCACGCCGGUGCCAUGAGUAAGCAAAGCCGCUGUCCUUGUCCAGCCGCCUGCGGCUCUCAGAGUCAUCAUCGCUGGUCUCAGAGCUGCUGCAGCUCGAGCCGCGGCCCUGGCUUUUCCUGCGGUGGUAGCGCUUGUGCACCGUGCCCGGGGAAGCGAUGUUCAUCUUCAGCCGGCUCAGCUUGGGCGGCAGGUUCUCGUCCAUGUCGAACUCAUCGUCGGACUCGCCCUCUUCGAAGAUCUGGUUGAGCACCGGCGCACUCUUGCGAGAUGUCAGGCGGUUCGUGACUGACGGCUUCCUGCGCAGCACCACCUGCGUGGACAGAGACACAGGCUUCUUGUCUUCCUCCUCCUCCUCCUCAUCUUCUUCCACCCUGAACAGACACUUCCGCCCACUGGCAGCAGGCGUCAGGCUCGCGGGUGGCACAGUGGGCAGUGCUGGCCCAGCCAGCUCCGGGAGCUCGUCUUUCUUGGCCGAGUCACACAGGCCUUUGCUCCUGUGGCCAUUAAGAACAUUGUCAGCAGCCCGAGCAGGAGACUGUGGGACCGUGGCAUGUGACAAAGGCGUGGCAGUGAGGUCAUCCUCAAGGUCUUGGGGCACAUCGAUUUUGGUCGGCCACGACUGCCUGUGUGACAGAGGAGACAAUCGUCAUGUAGUCGCUGGCCUGGCCUGGGAGACAGACAGCUUGGUGGGUAGAGUGCUGGCUGCCACCCACGGAACGUUAGAUGUGACGGGCCGAGGACCCUUGUAAUCCCAGCACCAUCACAAGGUGGUGGAUAGAGACUGGAUUAGUUCCAGAAUCAUCGGCCAGCAAUCCCUGCACACAUGGCAAAGACCCUGUUUCAGACAAGAUGGAAGAUGAGGACCAAAACCCAAGGUAUCCUUAAACCUCCACACACAGCCAUAGCACACAGAUCCUAACACACACAGAGCUAGGAUGAAAUCCACAGAUGUAAAAAGCAUUUCAGGUCCAUCAGCAAGGAUACCAGAGGGACAUGUGGCAACUUCAUCACACCACAGCUGCCAGAAAAGAACAUGGGGCACACAAAUAUUGGGGCAGCACAAGUUCUCCCUAAACCUCAACACCACACACUUCUACACAUGCACACCUACAUACACGCUCACAUACACCCAGACACACACAUAUAUAUGUACAGCUGCACACACGAUCACACACACAUACACCUUCAGACAAGCUAAUAUAUACAUACACACAUGCAUAUGCUAUCAUCUACAAAUGUACACAUGUACACCUACAUACAAAUAUCCAGUAUACUCUCACAAAUAAACACAUGGACAGACUCAUAUGCACACAUGUUCAUCACACGUACCAUCUACAUAUGUACACACGCACGCA